AAAUCCAAGUAUUUCAAUUCCCCGAAGAUAUUACCCAAUCCCAGAACUUCCAAAGGCCCAAAAAAACAAAUCACCAAAGCUGAAGAUGAUAACAAUAAUAAAGAAUCACAGGUAAGGUUUCACCUACCUUUGAGGCUCUGUUGCAGUUCCACAUAAAGAAUUAGUUUGUUAAAACAAUGAAUUUAUCUGAUAAAAUUUUUUUGUAAUCUUCAUUUCUUAAAUUUCAUUAGAAGUAAACAAGUAAUAAUAGCUUGCAUUUCACAAUUUCAUAAUGUGGUUAACAUGGGAUAACAUAACUGACAUAUAUGUAUUACAGUCUGGUAUAGAUUUUGUCUUUAUUAUGGCCGGCUGUUAGCAUAAAGUAUUAUUUAAAUUUUGUAAAAUAUACAUUUUUGUUGUAUUACUUUCAAAUGUUUUGAUUUGUUUUUUUUUUUUAUAUCUGAUUUGCAGUUAACCUUGCUUUGGAAAAAGAGUGGUACAGAAGUUGUAGUAGCAGUUGUUCCGUCACAAAUUAAAGGUCGGAGCAUUGUGAUUCAUCAUUCUGACUUGUGCACUCUUCGACCACAUCAAUGGUUGACAGGGGAGAUCAUUGAAAGCCUUCUGCAUGUGGCUGCCCAUGCAUUGGGAGUCAUGGACACCUUCUACAUCCUGAAUCACUACUCAGCUGGUGUGAUUUUGUUCGAGGACCGAACUGAGCUUCCUAGACAAAGUUUACCAAACGUAAUGGAUAUCUUUGUUGCUAUAUUAUGUCAUUAUAAGAUGAAUGAACAGAACUUUCACAGUUACACAUCAGUUACACAGAGCUACAAAAUUGACAACAAAAUUACUUCGAAGAUGAAAUCAUAUGUAAUGUGUUUAUGGCAAAUAUGUGUGCUUGUUGAUAAAAAGAAGAACAAGAUGUAUUUUUUUAAAAGGUUUGAAUUAAAAGCUGAGUUGUUUUUAAAAGAGUGUUCUGAAAGAAUUGCCAUGUUUUACUGACUACUUGGCUGUUUUAAACAUUGAAACACUUGACAAAAUUAAUGUAAUUGUUCACUUCCGUGCGAGUUCCAAAUAUAAGUGUCACAGAGGGUUAUCCAGGCAAAUAAGGAGCUGAACAUGGCAGUAAGGAUGGACAACUUCUUUAGACAACAUUACAUAAUUAAUUCCACAUGUAAAAAAACUUCUGUACUGGACACUACAUAUAAGAUUUCAGAGUAAUGUAAAUGUCAAUCAUUUAAUAAAGUAGAAGUAAGAAUCUUGAUCUAGUUGCACCCACAUUAAUCUUGGCUAAGUAAUUUCAUUUGAUAUCUUGUAUGUGUCCUAGUAACUAACAUCAACAUCACUGCAAGCUUUACCCCAUCCCACAGCAGCCUGUACAGGGCAAUGUUUAGCACCUUAACUCUUGUAAAACAGUGUAUUGAUUAUUUUAUCAUUUUUAAAACACCUUCUCAUUGAAAAGCAAAAUUGUCAGUAAAAGUAAAUACUGACAUGUGGGAAAAGAUUAAUUGCGAGACAUGUGCUUAAAGUUUGUCUUUAUGUUAACAUUUAAUUUUUGAACAUUUUUAAUGCCAUUUCAGGUAAACUUUGACAACUAUGAAGCAGUUCUGUCAUUUGUCCUUGUGAACAACAAUCACUGGAAGUUGCUGGUUUGUGAUUUUUUGUCUAUAAUCAAUAUUUUUUCAUUUUAUGGUUUGGAUAGAGCAUGACAUAUUCACAUUAGUUUUAAUGAAAUUUUUCUUUGUUAUGCCCCUUUACUUUGUUGAUCUGUUUUAGUACAUCAAUGCAGAAGCCAGAACUGUAUUCCUAAUAGAUCCUGCACAAGUAUCAUCUGAGCUUGUGGACUCCCAAAAGGCAGCUAAAAGAAUACAAGAAUACUUCAAAAUGAGAAGGACAUGCCAUGGAAAAAUAGACUGGGUUGGGAUCCAAUGGAAAGGGGGGACAAUGCGCCACCCUAUUCAACAAGACGGAAGCAGCUGUGGAGUUAUUGUAGUCAAAAUGGCAAAAGCACUGAUGGAAGCCUUCCCUCUGAUGCCAGAUGUAGAUUUUGACACAACAAAAAAGGCAAUGAAAAGUGAAAGAAGAACUCUCGCUCUUCAAAUCCUUGAUGCAUCAGUAUUUGAUGACCACUGUUGGUGUGCGAUGUGCGCUGCAUACAAAGCCCCGGGGUCUGGCCCUGGAAUGACAGACUGGAUCCAGUGUGACAACUGUGACCGAUGGUACCAUGCCCUGUGCAUAAAUAUGAAGAGCACAGAAUUUCAAAAGAAAAAAACAGGCAGUUGGAAAUGUAUAUGGUGUAGUUAAUCUGAAAACUUGAAACUGUGUUCAUUAUUGUUCGAAAUACGUUUUGAAAAUAUCUGUGGAAAAUGAAAAUGUAAUAUGUUUGUGUGGCAUUGAUGCUAUGUGUGAUGUAUAAAGUGUACUGGAAUCAUU